CCCCCCCCCCCCCCCCCCCCCCCCCUUUGUGAUCGAUCUUUGUCUUUUGGCCCCUGAUCCUGAGUCCCUCUGUGUGAGUUACAACUUUGUGGUUACUGCUGUUGGGCCAGUUGAGCUUGAUACGGGUUAUUGAAUGAAUUUGUUAAAUUUUCUCCUCUUCUGUUUAUUCUUUUUUGUAGAAAUGGGUGAAACAUUCCAUAAUUGAGAUGCUUGAUGAUCCAACCAUUUUCAUUGAUGAAAAGUUGAAGACUUACCUUCGGUCUAACCCUCAUGUGACGGCUGCGCUCGUGGAAUUUACACAAGAUCCAGAGUUGUUUCAGGAGCUUUUCUCUCGCUAUCGUCAGAUACGCAAGUACAUUGCCUGUCACAGAAGUGUGCUGAGUGAUUACGUGGAAGAAUUUAUCAUCCUUCAGUCGAUAGAGUUCUGCCUGGCUGAUCAGAGAGAGUUCAGCACCAUCUACACAGUUAUCAAGAAUGUGCAGUCCAUGAUGGCAAGCCUUGGCCAGAAUGACAGCGUUAUUACAUUUGACCUUGCUAUAUAUGUGAAGGCCAAAGAGAUUCAGUGGCACCUACAAGAAGAGUUUGAAGACAUGAUGAUACGCAUAGGAGGCUUCCACAUUGCAACGAAUUAUCUGGCUGUGCUGGGUAAAAAGUACCAGAUGUCAGGCAUCGAGGAUCUUCUGAUAAAAUCUGACAUGUAUGGCAGUUCGACAACCUCGACCCUCCUGAAAGGGAAGUCUUACAAUCGUGGAGUGAGAAGAUAGUCAUGGAAGCCAUGUUUCGUCUGCAGUGGCGUGCCUUCGUGAAGUGGCACUCUAGGCAGGAGGUCAGUGAUGUAGAUGAAGAUGCUGUGGAUGGAGCAAGUGACAGCAUGCCAAUGAGCUCUGGAAGAAGAAAAAGAUGUCCAGAACACCAUGUUGAGGAUGUGUGAUGCUAUCACGACAUUAGAAUCAGAGUUCACAAGGUUCCAAACUGAGGCCCCCCCCCCCCCCCCCCCCC
rnacentral:lncRNA from 1 species